rnacentral:miRNA from 1 species
GUUAUUGUCAUUAUAGGAGGAU